GUCGAACGCUGGCGGCGUGCCUAAUACAUGCAAGUCGAACGCAGUGGGGACGGGUGAGUAACACGUGGGUAACCUCCCAUCAGAGGGGAUAACACUUGGAAACAGGUGCUAAACCGAUACUGAUGGAUGGACCCGCGGGUGAUUAGCUCGUGGGUGAGGUAACGGCUCACCAAGGCCACGAUGCAUAGCCGACCUGAGAGGGUGAUCGGCCACACGGGGACUGAGACACGGCCCAGACGCCUACGGGAGGCAGCAGUAGGGAAGCUUCGGCAAUGGACGAAAGUCUGACCGAGCAACGCCGCGUGAGUGAAGAAGGUUUUCGGAUCGUAAAACUCUGUUGUUAGAGAAGCGGUAUCUAACCAGAAAGCCACGGCUAACUACGUGCCAGCAGCCGCGGUAAUUC
rnacentral:rRNA from 1 species